rnacentral:rRNA from 1 species
GGAUGCGAUCAUACCAGCACUAAAGCACCGAAUCCCAUCAGAACUCCGAAGUUAAGCGUGCUUGGGUGAGAGUAGUACUAGGAUGGGUGACCUCCUGGGAAGUCCUCGUGUUGCAUUCC